CGAUUGUCUCUCACGUUCCCACAUUAGGGAAAAAAGGAAGAAAAAAAAAUAACUCCACCAUUCCCUUCCCUCUCGCGAGCUCAGAUCACGCGAAGCAAGGAAAAAAGAAAAAUGGCGCAGCUGGUGGAGACGUACGCGUGCUCGCCGGCCACGGAACGCGGCCGUGGAAUCCUCCUGGCCGGGGACCCCAAGACAGACACGAUCGCCUACUGCACCGGCCGCAGCGUUAUCAUCCGCCGCCUCGAUGCGCCUCUCGACGCUUGGGCCUACCCCGACCACGCCUACCCCACGACCGUCGCCCGCUUCUCCCCCAACGGCGAGUGGGUCGCCUCCGCCGACGCCUCCGGCUGCGUCCGCGUCUGGGGCCGCUACGGUGACCGCGCUCUCAAGGCCGAGUUUCGGCCCCUCUCGGGACGCGUCGACGACCUCCGCUGGUCCCCCGACGGCCUACGCAUCGUCGUCUCUGGGGACGGCAAGGGCAAGUCCUUCGUCCGCGCAUUUGUGUGGGACUCUGGCAGCACUGUUGGUGAAUUUGAUGGGCACUCAAAGAGGGUUCUGAGCUGUGACUUCAAACCAACACGUCCAUUUCGCAUUGUGACAUGUGGUGAAGAUUUUCUGGCUAACUUCUAUGAAGGACCACCAUUCAAAUUUAAGCAUUCCAUAAGGGAUCACUCAAAUUUUGUUAACUGUAUCCGGUAUGCUCCUGAUGGUAGUAAGUUUAUCACUGUGAGUUCUGAUAAGAAGGGUUUGAUAUAUGAUGGCAAAACUGGAGAAAAAAUAGGAGAACUUUCCACUGAAGGCAAUCAUACAGGGAGCAUAUAUGCUGUUAGCUGGAGUCCUGACAGUAAACAGGUUCUAACAGUUUCUGCUGAUAAAUCUGCAAAAGUAUGGGAUAUCAUGGAAGAUGCAAGUGGGAAAUUGAAUCGAACUUUGUCUUGCCCUGGUAUAGGAGGUGUGGAUGAUAUGCUUGUUGGUUGUCUCUGGCAGAAUGACCACCUCGUGACAGUCUCUCUUGGUGGGACAUUUAAUGUGUUCUCUGCAAGCAACCCAGACCAAGAACCAGUUACAUUUGCAGGACAUUUGAAGACUGUUAGUUCUUUGGUCUUCUUUCCUCAAAGUAGCCCAAGAACUAUACUAUCUACUAGCUAUGAUGGUGUCAUCAUGAGGUGGAUACAGGGUGUUGGAUUUGGUGGCAGAUUGGUGCGCAGAAACAACACUCAAAUAAAAUGUUUUGCUGCAGUAGAAGAAGAGCUUGUUACCUCAGGUUAUGAUAAUAAGGUCUUCAGAAUUCCUCUUAAUGGAAACCAGUGUGGAGAUGCUGAGUCAGUUGAUAUAGGCGGUCAGCCAAAUGCUUUGAACCUUGCAAUUCAGAAACCUGAAUUUGCACUGAUCACUACUGAUUCCGGGAUUGUGUUGCUGCACAAUUCAAAAGUCAUUUCUACAACAAAAGUUAACUAUGCCAUCACGUCAUCUUCAGUGUCUCCUGAUGGCACAGAAGCUGUUGUGGGUGCUCAAGAUGGGAAACUGCGAAUCUAUUCCAUCAGUGGCGAUACACUCACAGAAGAAGCUCUGCUUGAGAAGCACCGGGGUGCUAUCACUUCCAUACAUUAUUCGCCAGAUGUUUCUAUGUUUGCUUCUGCUGAUACCAACAGGGAAGCUGUUGUGUGGGAUCGAGCAAGUAGAGAGGUCAAGCUGAAGAACAUGUUGUACCACACAGCCAGGAUAAACUCCCUGGCUUGGUCACCUGACAGUCGAUUGGUUGCCACUGGCUCACUGGACACCUGUGCAAUUGUCUACGAGAUAGACAAGCCGGUAGCCAGUCGCGUCACCAUCAAGGGAGCCCAUCUUGGUGGGGUUCAUGGGUUAACCUUCCUCGACAAUGAUAUUCUGGUGACUGCCGGUGAAGAUGCUUGCAUUCGUGUUUGGAAGGUGGUGCAGCAAUAGGCCGCUCUUCAUUCUGGUGUGCAAUGAGAAUGUCUGUGCUGUUGAUUGGAAUAAACUUUUUUUUUGUUGGUUUGGUGGCUGUUACUCACGGGGUCAUAGCAUGGAAGACUCCUUUGUAAGUGGAUCCGGUAUCCCUGCAUCUGAUUUUGUUAGGAGUUGUGAGAAUAUAGGGAUACUGUUGUUGCUUUUUCUACCCCAGGUCCCUAAAAUAGUCGUUAAUAACUGACUUCGCUGUGGUUAAGUUUUUACGAACGUUGACUGUGCUUUCA